rnacentral:sRNA from 1 species
GCGGGGAGGAUCUGUUGACGGACAUACGACGGCGUAAAUCGGUGAUUGCUU